rnacentral:rRNA from 1 species
ACUGGGACUGAGACACGGCCCAGACUCCUACGGGAGGCAGCAGUGGGGAAUUUUCCGCAAUGGGCGCAAGCCUGACGGAGCAAUACCGCGUGAGGGAGGAAGGCCUUUGGGUUGUAAACCUCUUUUCUUAAGGAAGAAGAUCUGACGGUACUUAAGGAAUCAGCAUCGGCUAACUCCGUGCCAGCAGCCGCGGUAAUACGGAGGAUGCAAGCGUUAUCCGGAAUUAUUGGGCGUAAAGCGUCCGCAGGCGGCAUUAUAAGUCUGCUGUCAAAGACCGCAGCUCAACUGCGGAAAGGCAGUGGAAACUGUAAAGCUAGAGUACGGUAGGGGUAGAGGGAAUUCCCAGUGUAGCGGUGAAAUGCGUAGAUAUUGGGAAGAACACCAGUGGCGAAAGCGCUCUACUGGGCCGUAACUGACGCUCAGGGACGAAAGCUAGGGGAGCGAAAGGGAUUAGAUACCCCUGUAGUCCUAGCUGUAAACGAUGGAUACUAGGCGUAGCUUGUAUCGACCCGAGCUGUGCCGAAGCUAACGCGUUAAGUAUCCCGCCUGGGGAGUACGCACGCAAGUGUGAAACU